rnacentral:rRNA from 1 species
GACGAACGCUGGCGGCGUGCCUAAUGCAUGCAAGUUGAGCGCUGAAGGUUGGUACUUGUACCGACUGGAUGAGCAGCGCACGGGUGAGUAACGCGUGGGGAAUCUGCCUUUGAGCGGGGGACAACAUUUGGAAACGAAUGCUAAUACCGCAUAAAAACUUUAAACACAAGUUUUAAGUUUGAAAGAUGCAAUUGCAUCACUCAAAGAUGAUCCCGCGUUGUAUUAGCUAGUUGGUGAGGUAAAGGCUCACCAAGGCGAUGAUACAUAGCCGACCUGAGAGGGUGAUCGGCCACAUUGGGACUGAGACACGGCCCAAACUCCUACGGGAGGCAGCAGUAGGGAAUCUUCGGCAAUGGACGAAAGUCUGACCGAGCAACGCCGCGUGAGUGAAGAAGGUUUUCGGAUCGUAAAACUCUGUUGGUAGAGAAGAACGUUGGUGAGAGUGGAAAGCUCAUCAAGUGACGGUAACUACCCAGAAAGGGACGGCUAACUACGUG